UCCCCUCCCCUGUGCUGGUUGCUGCCCCAAAACAGAGCUGGCCACCCGCCUGGUCCCCAAUACAGGCGACCAGGUGGGCACACACAACCUCCUUCGAUUUCUAGGUCUUCGCGAAUCCAAAGUUUGGCCCAGGUGGUCAGUGACAACCGACACCAAUCUCGCUCAAGGGAGCAGAAGGGGGGUAAUACCCAACCCCCACCCGUUUCCCAGCUCGGGCCGGAGGAGAAGGGUCCAGCAUUUACAGGGGAGUGCCCAAGAAAGAGCGGGCCAGACUGCGCGCAGAGAGAGGAUGCAGACGGAGUCGGUUACGACGCUCAGACAGACAGACUGAGCCCGAACCCUAGGGACGCGGGCAGGACAAACACAAAGAACAGACUGAGCCAGUGAGCCAGGCGACAGGGACAGACAGAAUGACGGAGGCUCUACCGGGGGGGCGGGGGGACAGAAGCGCAGUCAGAAGGGAGCCGGGACUUUGCCAGUCACACAAAGAGUCCCCGCGCCCCGGAGAGAGACGCGCCACGCAUCCGGAGGCCGAUCCGACUUGCGGCGCGCGCGGCGGCGGCGGGGCUCCCCGCACCCGCUGCGGGCCUCAGUGUCCCGGUUCCCGGAGCUGAGACGCCCAGGGCGUCCGGCCGCGCCCCACCCCUCCCCCGCAGUCACCAGAGCGGCGACCAGCUGUCCAGCGCCCGGCUACCGAUGCCGAGUGGCUGCGGGAUGAGGAUAAGAAGCGCGCCCAUGGGGCCCUGGAAAGACAAGUUUGGAGGAAGCAAAAAAGAAGAAAGUACUUGGAGGACGAAGGCUUGUAUCCUGAACCAAUGCGAGGAUAGGAAAAUACACCUGGAUUUGAACAUCGCCAGGGCCAUUGUGUGACCGACCGGACCCCAGGAGCUGUCACUAAUACAGGAAGAAUCUAAGAGGUGGUCCUCGGUGACUCCCUUGGACUGUGGCACAAAACCUUUGCUCGAUCUAUGGGUGCUGAAUGAUAAAUUAUUGGAUAAAAAGGAGGGCGGUAAUGAAGCUGAGUCAGUAAAGUGCUUUGCUUACAGAA